UACGAAGGUGGCAAGCGCUGUUCGGAUUUACUGGGCGUACAGGGAGCGUAGGCGGUUGGAUAAGCCCUCCGUGAAAUCCCCGGGCUCAACCCGGGAACUGCGUCCGAAACUGGUAGGCUUGAAUCCGGGAGAGGGAUGUGGAAUUCCAGGUGUAGCGGUGAAAUGCGUAGAUAUCUGGAGGAACACCGGUGGCGAAGGCGGCAUCCUGGACCGGUAUUGACGCUGAGGCGCGAAAGCCAGGGGAGCAAACGGG
rnacentral:rRNA from 1 species